rnacentral:rRNA from 1 species
CCUACGGGUGGCAGCAGUGAGGAAUAUUGGUCAAUGGGCGUAAGCCUGAACCAGCCAAGUCGCGUGAGGGAUGACGGCCCUACGGGUCGUAAACUUCUUUUAUAAAGGAAUAAAGUGCGGGACGUGUCCCUUUUUGUAUGUACCUUAUGAAUAAGGAUCGGCUAACUCCGUGCCAGCAGCCGCGGUAAUACGGAGGAUCCGAGCGUUAUCCGGAUUUAUUGGGUUUAAAGGGUGCGUAGGUGGGCUGUUAAGUCAGUGGUGAAAGUCUGUGGCUCAACCAUAGAAUUGCCGUUGAUACUGGCAGCCUUGAGUACAGUUGAGGUAGGCGGAAUGCGUGGUGUAGCGGUGAAAUGCUUAGAUAUCACGCAGAACCCCGAUUGCGAAGGCAGCCUGCCAAGC